UACGUAGGGUGCAAGCGUUAUCCGGAGUUAUUGGGCGUAAAGAGCUCGUAGGCGGUUUGUCGCGUCUGCUGUGAAAACCGGAGGCUCAACCUCCGGCCUGCAGUGGGUACGGGCAGACUAGAGUGCGGUAGGGGAGAUUGGAAUUCCUGGUGUAGCGGUGGAAUGCGCAGAUAUCAGGAGGAACACCGAUGGCGAAGGCAGAUCUCUGGGCCGUAACUGACGCUGAGGAGCGAAAGCGUGGGGAGCGAACAGG
rnacentral:rRNA from 1 species